GGCAGACUAGAGUGCAGUAGGGGAGACUGGAAUUCCUGGUGUAGCGGUGAAAUGCGCAGAUAUCAGGAGGAACACCGAUGGCGAAGGCAGGUCUCUGGGCUGUAACUGACGCUGAGGAGCGAAAGCAUGGGGAGCGAACAGGAUUAGAUACCCUGGUAGUCCAUGCCGUAAACGUUGGGCACUAGGUGUGGGGGACAUUCCACGUUUUCCGCGCCGUAGCUAACGCAUUAAGUGCCCCGCCUGGGGAGUACGGCCGCAAGGCUAAAACUCAAAGGAAUUGACGGGGGCCCGCACAAGCGGCGGAGCAUGCGGAUUAAUUCGAUGCAACGCGAAGAACCUUACCAAGGCUUGACAUGAACCGGAAUGAUGCAGAGAUGUGUCAGCCACUUGUGGCCGGUUUACAGGUGGUGCAUGGUUGUCGUCAGCUCGUGUCGUGAGAUGUUGGGUUAAGUCCCGCAACGAGCGCAACCCUCGUUCCAUGUUGCCAGCGGGUUAUGCCGGGGACUCAUGGGAGACUGCCGGGGUCAACUCGGAGGAAGGUGGGGACGACGUCAAAUCAUCAUGCCCCUUAUGUCUUGGGCUUCACGCAUGCUACAAUGGCCGGUACAAAGGGUUGCGAUACUGUGAGGUGGAGCUAAUCCCAAAAAGCCGGUCUCAGUUCGGAUUGAGGUCUGCAACUCGACCUCAUGAAGUUGGAGUCGCUAGUAAUCGCAGAUCAGCAACGCUGCGGUGAAUACGUUCCCGGGCCUUGUACACACCGCCCGUCAAGUCACGAAAGUUGGUAACACCCGAAGC
rnacentral:rRNA from 1 species